ACCUGACGUCUUUUCUGGAUUGGGAUCAAGAAGUUACUAAAUUCCGACUUUACCAAAUCGGGAAUAUGAGGUGAUUUGUCACAGGAAGCAACUGUGAACGAUGGCACUAUUUUGUUAAACAUGGAUUUGCAUGGCGGAGCGCAGGUAUCACCAACAUUGACAUCAGACAGUACUGAAUCACUCGCUUGACUCAUUGGGAUGAAAAUGAACCAGAUCUAAAUCCUAAAGGGGACACAUCACGCAGUAUCCACCCAAAUGAGAUUUCUUAAGUUUGGCCGGGCCAGGGGCUAUCAUCCCCUACAUUAAGCCAAGCAGCCGAACCAAGAGUUACACAUAUUAUUUGAAGGAAAUGCAAUUUC